UUGACCUCAAAUCAGGUAGGACUACCCGCUGAACUUAAGCAUAUCAAUAAGCGGAGGAAAAGAAACUAACAAGGAUUCCCCUAGUAACUGCGAGUGAAGAGGGAAGAGCUCAAAUUUAAAAUCUGGCAGUCUUAUGUCUGUCCGAGUUGUAAAUUAGAGAAGCGUUAUCCGCGCUGGCCUGUGCAAAAGUCUCUUGGAAAAGAGCAUCAUAGAGGGUGACAAUCCCGUCUUUGGCACAGACUACCAGGGCUUUUGUGAUGCGUUCUCGAUGAGUCGAGUUGUUUGGGAAUGCAGCUCUAAAUGGGUGGUAAAUUCCAUCUAAAGCUAAAUAUUGGCGAGAAACCGAUAGCGCACAAGUACCGUGAGGGAAAGAUGAAAAGAACUUUGAAAAGAGAGUUAAACAGUACGUGAAAUUGUUGAAAGGGAAACGCUUGAAGUCAGUCGUGUCCUUCAGAAAUCAACCUGACUUUCGUUGGGCGUACUUUCUGUUGGAUGGGUCAGCAUCAAUUUUGAUCGUUGGAUAAAGGCCUCGGGAAUGUGGCAUCUUCGGAUGUGUUAUAGACCUUGGUUCGCAUACAAUGGUUGGGAUUGAGGAACUCAGUGUGACUUAUGUUUGGGGCUUCGGCCUACACUACGCACUUAGGAUGCUGGCAUAAUGGCUUUAAUCGACCCGUCUUGAAACACGGACCAAGGAGUCUAACAUACAUGCGAGUGUUUGGGUGGAAAACUCAAGCGCGCAAUGAAAUUGAAAGUUGAGAACCCUGUCGUGGGGUGCAUCGACGCCCGGACCUGACCUUUUGUGACGGACCUGCGGUUAGAGCAUGCAUGUUGGGACCCGAAAGAUGGUGAACUAUGCCUGAAUAGGUUGAAGCCAGAAGGAAACUCUGGUUGGAAGCUCGUAGCGAUCUGACGUGCCAAAUCCGAUCGUUCGAAUUUGGGUAUAGGGGCGAAAGACUAAUCGGAACAUUUAGUAGCUGUUCCUG
rnacentral:rRNA from 1 species